UGGGUCUCCACAAUAAUUGUAAUUGGUUUUCAAUUAUUUUAUAUUUAUAUCUUAUUUCGGGACAUUAUGCUUUGUGUGAUUUUUCUCUUGUAUUUUAUGUUAAAUUUUCUUUGAUUUGUGUUGUAUUAUAUUUAUACACUGUGUAUUUGCAAUGUGCACUGAAGUGGCCAAACUGCAAGCCGCUGUGAGUCCCCUCCAGGGUGAGAAGAGCAGGAUAGAAAUAUAGUAAAUAAAUAAAUUAUCUUGUCCCCUUCCAGACCAUGGAGGAGCCCUCUCUCUGGGUGCACAUCAUCAAAGUGAGGGAAGUAUCCAAGUGUCUAUGAGCUCCUUCAGAAGACAUCAACGCUCCCUGAGCCACGAGAAAGCAGAAGACCCGGCCCUGCACCCUAGGAGAUGGUCUUCCCUGGACCCAGAGCAGUGGUCUCUUUGGCCACUAGAAUGUGAAAGAACACCUGCACCAUCUUUGUCAGCUGGCCUGUAGUCCCUCCUCUGCAGUCCCUCCUCGGCAGAGGUCAUGUGGGCAGUGGACUACAUGGCCUGAAAACAUCUGAAGAUGGCCACAGACCACUUUCUGGAGUCCAAUGACAGGAAAGAGAGCUGG
rnacentral:lncRNA from 11 species